UACGUAGGGUGCAAGCGUUAAUCGGAAUUACUGGGCGUAAAGCGUGCGCAGGCGGUUAUGUAAGACAGUUGUGAAAUCCCCGGGCUUAACCUGGGAAUGGCAUUGGUGACUGCACGGCUAGAGUGUGUCAGAGGGGGGUAGAAUUCCACGUGUGAGCAGUGAAAUGCGUAGAUAUCAGGAGGAACACCGAUGGCGAAGGCAGGUCUCUGGGCUGACACUGACGCUCAUGCACGAAAGCGUGGGGAGCAAACAGG
rnacentral:rRNA from 1 species